GGGGGAUCCCAAGUGCCAUUCUUAACGGGAUGGCUUUUCAUUAGUGUAAAGAGCUUUUGGAAUAAGAGCUGGGCAAGACCGGUGCCAGCCGCCGCGGUAACACCGGCAGCUCUAGUGGUAGCAAUUUUUAUUGGGCCUAAAGCGUCCGUAGCCGGUUUAAUAAGUCUCUGGUGAAAUCCUGUAGCUUAACUGUGGGAAUUGCUGGAGAUACUAUUAGACUUGAGACCGGGAGAGGUUAGAGGUACUCCCAGGGUAGAGGUGAAAUUCUGUAAUCCUGGGAGGACCGCCUGUUGCGAAGGCGUCUAACUGGAACGGUUCUGACGGUGAGGGACGAAAGUUAGGGGCGCGAACCGGAUUAGAUACCCGGGUAGUCCUAACUGUAAACGAUGCGGACUUGGUGUUGGGGUGGCUUUGAGCUGUCUCAGUGCCGAAGGGAAGCUGUUGAGUCCGCCGCCUGGGAAGUACGGUCGCAAGACUGAAACUUAA
rnacentral:rRNA from 1 species